UACGGAGGGUGCAAGCGUUGUUCGGAAUUAUUGGGCGUAAAGCGCGUGUAGGCGGCUUUGCAAGUCGGGUGUGAAAGCCCUCAGCUCAACUGAGGAAGUGCGCCCGAAACUGCAGAGCUUGAGUGCCGGAGAGGGUGGCGGAAUUCCCCCAAGUAGAGGUGAAAUUCGUAGAUAUGGGGAGGAACACCCGGUGGCGAAGGCGGCCGACCUGGACGGUAACUGACGCUGAGACGCGAAAGCGUGGGGAGCAAACAGG
rnacentral:rRNA from 1 species